AAGUCCAAUCUAGACAUUUUAGCAUGUUUAUCACGGGUAAUUUAUGUCCACUUUGCAUUAUACAUGAGGAAAAAUCAAUAAAUUUGCACGAUUUCGAUUAUUAGAUUGAUAGUGUGUUGAAGCGGAAUUUUCGUAACGGUCUUUAAUGGACACAAUUAACCAGAAUGCACUGCGCGAAACUGAGUCAUUAGCUCCACCCACUAACCACUGUUCGAUGCAGUCGUCAGGUUUGUUUGACUUCAUGCGGCGCCGCAGGAACCGACAGCUGGAUGACGUCAAGGUUCCGCGAAAGGGAUUUAAAAGCAAACUCCUCCGUAUGAUAUCGCGAAUCGCUCUCGCGGUACUUUGACGUGAAGUUGAACAAGCCUAAUAACUUCUUUUACCGCUCAACUAGCUCUCAAAUCAACUCAAGUCAACUUGAAGUUAGCCGGCAGACGAACCCAUCCAAAGAGUAACUCCGCUUUAACCGUCUCUGAGGGGGAAAUCACCAAAGCCCUCGAUAAAAGAUGACUAGAACCUGUGCAGUAUGUGGAUGUAAGGACAACAAAUUCAGGCCACCGGGAGUUUUUAUUGUUGACAUCAACGCGACCCUCAGCUGACCCACCACUACACUACUUUGAAUAUGCAGCCAGCACUUUCGUCAGGAAGAUUUUGAGUACUGUUUUCAGCCCAGUUUUUCCGCGGACUCAGGCCCAUCAGAGUGAUUUUCUGAGUUCUUUCACAUGCUGUAUGGUCAGCGAAUGGAUGGAUUAUCCAGUCAAGGUACAGAAUGAAAGACUUGACUGAGUUAGAAGAAGCUGGGCGACUCUUCAGAGUGAAGAUGUUAUGAUGCAGUUAUGUCAAAGCACUCGUUUCGGCUGGCCAGAUUGGAACAGACCUGAAUGGGAAGAUGGCAGAGCUAAGACUGACAAUGUCCAGGAAAAAUGUUAACUAAAAAUGAGUGUGUGUUUCCUCAGCGAGUGAGUUUGGGAAUGUUUUAAAUGUGCCUAAAAGUUUGAAAAUGUAAUACUGAGGGAAAAAAGUGAGCGCUUUGAAAAGGCUUUAAAAAGAAAAUAAAGUCUGAAGUUGAUGGUAAAUGAAUUUAAAGUUUUUACUUGAAAAGUUUGUACUUGUCAAGUCUGUGCUGAAAAAAAUGGAGUAAAGUUUGUAUUUGAAAAGACUUGGAAUUGUGUGUUCUGUAGAAUGAGUACACAUAUGUGUGCAGGCUGUAUAAAAAACAUAGUUGUGCCACUAAUAUAAGUGAAAGUACAUGGUGUCAUCAUAUUUGAAGCAUAUUUGUAUCCCUAAUAUAAGUGAAGGUACAUGGUGUCAUCAUAUUUUAAGCAUAUUUGUAUCCCUAAUAUAAGUGAAAGUUCAUGGUGGCAUCAUAUAAGAAGCAUAUUUGUAUCCCUAAUAUAAGUGAAAGUACAUGGUGGCAUCAUAUAAGAAGCAUAUUUGUAUCCCUAAUAUAAGUGAAAGUAUGUACUAUGGAAAUAAGUACAUAUAUGCAUGUAUACAUAUAUGUGUCUUGCAUAUAUUUCACAUGUAUGUCCAUAUAUGGGAAAAUAUAUGGCACUUACAUGAAAACGGCCAUUUUUGCUAUAUUUUGAAAUAUAUUUUUCAUAUAUGUCUAUGUAUGUUACAUAUAUGAAUUUUGCAUAUACUUUCAUAUAUGCAGCAGACAUACAUGGGCACUGAUAUUAUAUAUGUAAUUUACAUAUAUUGACAUAUAUUACAUUUCUGUAUGGGGCGGUAUGCACCUAUGAAUUUGUUUCGCAACCCGCCAUUAAACAUUAGAUGAAUAAAUAAGACGAUGAAGUGAAUGCAAGUGUUGCUCUGGAUAGUGUAAAAAAUGGAUAGAGGUAAAAAAAUUAUAUAAAUACUGUUUGGUUUUUCAUACAAACCGAUCGUUUUGUGUCUUAGGAUACGAUGUGUCGUCCCGAGCCGCAGGAUUUAAUUUGGAUUUGUCUGUGCAUGUUUUUUGUCUAUCAGAAUUUUGUUACCAUUCACUUGUACGACUCACAGACUGAAACGGUUGGAUUUAAAAAUUUACAUUUGUGUUAUGUAUCAGCACGGUGUCAGAUUAAUACGGAUAACUGUGAGGUAUCUGAACGUGUUGUCUAAUUUUGAUCAGUCUUCUUUUUGUAUUAUUUCAUUUUAUAUAAUUUUUUUAUGUUUUAAUGU